rnacentral:rRNA from 1 species
AGUGAACGCUGGCGGUAGGCCUAACACAUGCAAGUCGAACGGCAGCACAGUAAGAGCUUGCUCUUACGGGUGGCGGGUGGCGGACGGGUGAGGAAUACAUCGGAAUCUACUUUUUCGUGGGGGAUAACGUAGGGAAACUUACGCUAAUACCGCAUACGACCUACGGGUGAAAGCAGGGGAUCUUCGGACCUUGCGCGAUUGAAUGAGCCGAUGUCGGAUUAGCUAGUUGGCGGGGUAAAGGCCCACCAAGGCGACGAUCCGUAGCUGGUCUGAGAGGAUGAUCAGCCACACUGGAACUGAGACACGGUCCAGACUCCUACGGGAGGCAGCAGUGGGGAAUAUUGGACAAUGGGCGCAAGCCUGAUCCAGCCAUACCGCGUGGGUGAAGAAGGCCUUCGGGUUGUAAAGCCCCUUUGUUGGGAAAGAAAAGCAGCAGGUUAAUACCCCGCUGUUCUGACGGUACCCAAAGAAUAAGCACCGGCUAACUUCGUG